rnacentral:lncRNA from 1 species
UUGACUUCCACAUAUCAAAAUCCUUUUACAAUUCAACACCUAACUUCCAACUCCUUCCAUAACUUCCCCACCUAUAAACCGCAAACUAAUUCUCUCAAAACUUGUCUUGCAAUUCUUGCAAUCAAGCAGCAAUGUUGACAUCAAUUUUCAGUUCUUUUCGUGUAUACUGUGCCGAGAUUUCGGGCCACAAUUUUGGCGUUUCUUUGUCUUCUCCUAAAGAAGAAGUUGUGCGGCAGAAACAGGAGCUAGUGGCUUCAACCAAAUUUGAUGGGAUGAAGAACGCCAACCAAGUAGAUAAUUCGUCCCGGGAUUCGAAGAAAUUGGAAGAAUAUCACCCAAGGAAGCCCAGUUUCGCACCUGAAUUCGAUGGCCUUCACUGUUUUGAGACAAUUAUUCUUUCUUAAUUUUUUUAUUUGGGUUGAUGAUUUGGCGUAAUACCAAAUUUUUGGUAUAUAAUUAAUAUGAUAUUCUUUAUUUUUAGUUAUUUGAAUUUCCUGGUUGAUCUAUUAUUCUUGUUGGUCUAAGC